UACGAAGGGGGCUAGCGUUGUUCGGAUUUACUGGGCGUAAAGAGCUCGUAGGCGGCUUGUCGCGUCUGCUGUGAAAUCCCGAGGCUCAACCUCGGGCCUGCAGUGGGUACGGGCAGACUGGAGUGCGGUAGGGGAGAAUGGAAUUCCUGGUGUAGCGGUGGAAUGCGCAGAUAUCAGGAGGAACACCGAUGGCGAAGGCAGUUCUCUGGGCCGUAACUGACGCUGAGGAGCGAAAGCGUGGGGAGCGAACAGG
rnacentral:rRNA from 1 species